rnacentral:lncRNA from 1 species
AGUGCCAGUAGCUAUCUGACCGCAGUCAGAGGAGCAGUCUGUAGGAUUCAUACUCCAUUUCUUUCCAGCAGGCGAUGAGCUUGCAGGGCUGCGCCGGGACAAAGAGGAAUGAUAAGCCUCGCCCCUGGAAGAACUGCUGAGCUCGCUGCCUGGAAGACACCACGCGCCUCCAGGCCUGCCGCACACCGCUGAGCUGGCGGACAGAGUUUCAGAUAUUUAUUAAUGAUUUCGUGCAUUUAGAGGGGAACUAUUUCCUGGAUAAGUGGAAAAUUGUGCAGGUGGCUUCUGGAAGACCUUCGUUUUAAGCAGCUUCAUAGUGAAACAUUUCGUUGAGAAGUCUGGACCUUCUUCAGGUUGCUGUAAUCUACCUUCACUGAGUAGAACGUGUAUUGCUUAUUGAGACCCAGUUUGGUCCAGG